CCUCUUUACGGCGUCGUGGCCGUUGUCCUCCACCUUUGCAUCACCAACUGUGCCCUUCACCGCCAUCACCGCCUCCAAUCCCGAAGACGUCACAUUUGCGCACGUCCGCAAUUCCCAUCGUCAACCUCGGGCCUCCAUCUUCAACCGUGGGGGCACACAAGGGAAUGGCAAGGCGGGGUGGGGCUGAGGGGGAGGCUGGGACGCUGCAGUGGAGAG
rnacentral:lncRNA from 1 species